AGAGUUUGAUCCUGGCUCAGAUUGAACGCUGGCGGCAGGCCUAACACAUGCAAGUCGAGCGGUAGAGAGAAGCUUGCUUCUCUUGAGAGCGGCGGACGGGUGAGUAAUGCCUAGGAAUCUGCCUGGUAGUGGGGGAUAACGUUCGGAAACGGACGCUAAUACCGCAUACGUCCUACGGGAGAAAGCAGGGGACCUUCGGGCCUUGCGCUAUCAGAUGAGCCUAGGUCGGAUUAGCUAGUUGGUGAGGUAAUGGCUCACCAAGGCGACGAUCCGUAACUGGUCUGAGAGGAUGAUCAGUCACACUGGAACUGAGACACGGUCCAGACUCCUACGGGAGGCAGCAGUGGGGAAUAUUGGACAAUGGGCGAAAGCCUGAUCCAGCCAUGCCGCGUGUGUGAAGAAGGUCUUCGGAUUGUAAAGCACUUUAAGUUGGGAGGAAGGGCAGUAAAUUAAUACUUUGCUGUUUUGACGUUACCGACAGAAUAAGCACCGGCUAACUCUGUGCCAGCAGCCGCGGUAAUACAGAGGGUGCAAGCGUUAAUCGGAAUUACUGGGCGUAAAGCGCGCGUAGGUGGUUUGUUAAGUUGGAUGUGAAAUCCCCGGGCUCAACCUGGGAACUGCAUUCAAAACUGACUGACUAGAGUAUGGUAGAGGGUGGUGGAAUUUCCUGUGUAGCGGUGAAAUGCGUAGAUAUAGGAAGGAACACCAGUGGCGAAGGCGACCACCUGGACUAAUACUGACACUGAGGUGCGAAAGCGUGGGGAGCAAAUAGGAUUAGAUACCCUGGUAGUCCACGCCGUAAACGAUGUCAACUAGCCGUUGGAAGCCUUGAGCUUUUAGUGGCGCAGCUAACGCAUUAAGUUGACCGCCUGGGGAGUACGGCCGCAAGGUUAAAACUCAAAUGAAUUGACGGGGGCCCGCACAAGCGGUGGAGCAUGUGGUUUAAUUCGAAGCAACGCGAAGAACCUUACCAGGCCUUGACAUCCAAUGAACUUUCUAGAGAUAGAUUGGUGCCUUCGGGAACAUUGAGACAGGUGCUGCAUGGCUGUCGUCAGCUCGUGUCGUGAGAUGUUGGGUUAAGUCCCGUAACGAGCGCAACCCUUGUCCUUAGUUACCAGCACGUAAUGGUGGGCACUCUAAGGAGACUGCCGGUGACAAACCGGAGGAAGGUGGGGAUGACGUCAAGUCAUCAUGGCCCUUACGGCCUGGGCUACACACGUGCUACAAUGGUCGGUACAGAGGGUUGCCAAGCCGCGAGGUGGAGCUAAUCCCAUAAAACCGAUCGUAGUCCGGAUCGCAGUCUGCAACUCGACUGCGUGAAGUCGGAAUCGCUAGUAAUCGCGAAUCAGAAUGUCGCGGUGAAUACGUUCCCGGGCCUUGCACUCACCACCCGUC
rnacentral:rRNA from 1 species